rnacentral:rRNA from 1 species
UUAAAACAGUUUUGAAACUUCUUCUUUGAUCGGCCGACCUCGGUUUGGAGCUGGGGCAGUUAAGAGGCCACUUGCUGCUUCAACGGUACCUUCAAAAGGCUGACCUCAGGGCACAACGUCGACAGCACCUGAUAGAGCGUUUCGACUUCCGACGGUGUAGCGCGUAGCUGAGCUGCGAGACCGGACUCCUCUGUGAAGUCUUACUGGAACUCAGCGACUACCGGGCGAACUUGUGCUAGGGACCAGCUCACGUCCUCACCUUCUUCAGGAGCCGAGCCACACCACGUCUACAGCGAAACACAGACCGGGCUCAGGUGACGUUUCUACGCGCUCUCCUCUUCGACCGCCGGGAAGCCCACCGGUUAUGGUUCUUCGUGCUGAAGUCCAGGAAAUACCUUUGAAAGGAACGUCGACGGUGAGCCUAGCGGCUGCCUUAACUGGAACUACUUAAGCAACGUGGAAGGUCGGGAGGUGUCCUCCCCAUUUUUUGAAGAAGACCGA